rnacentral:rRNA from 1 species
GAGUUUGAUCCUGGCUCAGAGCGAACGCUGGCGGCAGGCCUAAUACAUGCAAGUCGAACGGCUCUUCGGAGCAGUGGCGGACGGGUGAGUAACGCGUGGGAACGUGCCCUUUGGUACGGAACAACUGAGGGAAACUUCAGCUAAUACCGUAUACGCCCCUCGGGGGAAAGAUUUAUCGCUAUAGGAUGGGCCCGCGUCUGAUUAGGUAGUUGGUGAGGUAACGGCUCACCAAGCCGACGAUCAGUAGCUGGUCUGAGAGGAUGAUCAGCCACACUGGGACUGAGACACGGCCCAGACUCCUACGGGAGGCAGCAGUGGGGAAUAUUGGACAAUGGGCGAAAGCCUGAUCCAGCCAUGCCGCGUGAGUGAAGAAGGCCUUC